rnacentral:rRNA from 1 species
UACGAGUGGCCCAAGCGUUAUCCGGAAUUAUUGGGCGUAAAGGAUGCGUAGGUGGUUGUAUUAGUCUGGUGUCUAACCUCUGAGCUCAACUUGGAGACAGCAUUGGAAACGGUACGGCUAGAGUAUGUUAGGGGUAAGCGGAACUAAUAGUGUAGGGGUGAAAUGCGUUGAUAUUAUUGGGAACACCAAAAGCGAAGGCAGCUUACUGGAACAUUACUGACACUGAAGCAUGAAAGCGUGGGUAGCGAAUGGG